GCAAGUGACCCUGCAGGGGGGGCCACCAGGACUCAGCAGCGAGGGGGUGAGGGGAGCCAGAAAGAAGAGCCGCAGAUCAUGUCGACCUUCCUCACUGGGAGCUUUUACCCACAGUGUUGAGGCAUCACUGUAGGACGGCUACUGUGCUAAGUGCUCAAUAUAAUCAUCAUGUCUCUCACCUUUACCGACAGCUCUGUUAACUCUCUGUCCCAGUUCUCCCAUGCAGCAUGUCUGCGCUGGGUCACCUCCCAGUGGAUCUGCUCGGGUUGUGCCUCCUGACAAAGGACGAAGCACGAGUCCUGCAUCCUUAUCCGUAUUUUCAUCAUUAAUCAUCAUCAUUAAGAGCUAAUUUGUCCCAGACUUUGAAGUAAGUGUCCUACAUGCGUUCAAUCACUGAAUCGCCCCAGUAACCCUCUGUGAAGGUCCUCUCAGUCCUGCUGCCCAAGGGAGGGCAGGAGGCUUGGAAGGACCACGUCACUUGCCCAAGUCCCUCGGGAAUGGGGAGCAAGAUUGGAGCCCAGGUUGCUGGAGCGCCAGAGCCCAAGCUCCAGCCCCUGGGCACCACUGCCUUCUCUGCCAGGCUCAUGGUGGUGUCUUUUUUACCUUGGUCUGUCUCACUCCACUUGCCCGAACUGUUUUCAGUAUUUUCAUUAAUGCAAUGAAUACAGCAAUUAUUUACGCCACUGACCCUGAAAUAGCAUUCUCUACGAAGCCCCUUCUGUUUCCCUUUCUCCUGAUUGCCCCCAUCAACCAGACCCACACGCCACAUUCCCCCAAGUGUGCGUACACAAGGCCCAUGCACGCCCUUACAGCACUGCCUUUCCUGCUCAACUCAACCUGAUGAGAUCAACAAGGAAGAAGACUUUACUUAUUAGGGGUGGGAAGUGUUACAAAAGAUGAGAAACAGACCCAGUUUUGUUAAAAAAGAAACCAAACCAACAAGUUGCAUGAGACACAAGAUGUGCAUACACAGAGCAGCUAAGUAAAGGUAAACAACACUGAGUGAUUCCAAAGGAAAAUAAAAGCAGUAAACACUGCAGGGAUCCACAGAAGAAGACCUUAAGGAUGAGUGGGAUUUCGUGGGUGGCAGACGGAAACCAGAGUCAAGAAAUUGGCAUCUUCAUCAUGGCAACUGUUUAUCAGCAAAUCCAUAGGUUAGACAUUAAAUUAAAAUUAUUGGGAUAAAGAGAUAUAUAAACUAUUGUCCAAUGUUCCAUUUAUAGGGAAGAUCUAACUUACAGAUGGUAAAAUAAACAGCAGUAUAGAAGGCACAUAAUACAGAAGGCAAGAAUUUCAGUAAUUCGGAAAAUGAAGAAAACUUACCCCAAGGACAGCAAUAGGCCCGGAGACAGAAGGUGAGCUCUACUGCAGGGCAAAGGGCCCACUCACUAUAAGCCAGGCACUGAACACAAUGGAUGCCAAUAGCUCAGAGUCAACAGGAGCGGCCCAGAACUCCUGUGUGAUGUGUGGGGGACACAACUUAGGGAGUGGGUGCUUCCCCCCAUCAAGGCAUCAGAGAAGCUUUCCUGGUGGAGGAAAGUGGGAGUAGGAGUCAAAGGGGCCAGAAUGGGCAAACAAGGUGGGCAGGGGACACUAAGAGCAAAAGCACAGGUUAGAAGAUGCACUUGGUGUGCAGGGAGAAAGAAUGGAAGCUACCCGUCAGUUGGUGUUGCUGUGAGAGCAGGAAACGAGGCCAGGAGCACCGAGACGACCCGGAAGCACAGGCAGAGGCUGGACUGGAAGCGCCUGAUGGCCACAGGAGGGAGACAGGACUUGAUGUGAAUCACUGGAAUAGUUUAAGCAUUCUUCAGGUUGGGGGAUCAGGGAGCAACAGUGGGAAGUAGACUUAGGUUGGGCCCAGGUUUCAGCAAACUUCUUGGGCCAAAUGGAGUCUUUCAUCCACAAGAGUUUGCUGUGAGCACUGUUCUGGUUCAGAGUGUAACGGAGUAUAGAGAGCAUCAAGUCAGGAAAAAGAACUAAUGACACUUAACCUGACUGCCUAGAGCGAGAGCCACCCAGUCUUUUCUUGCGUAAAUUACCCGAGGC